rnacentral:rRNA from 1 species
CAGCCGCCGCGGGAAUACGUAGGUGGCAAGCGUUGUCCGGAAUGAUUGGGCGUAAAGGGCGCGCAGGCGGCUGUGUAAGUCUGUCUAGAAAGUGCGGGGCUAAACCCCGUGAGAGGAUGGAAACUGGACAGCUGAGAGUGUCGGAGAGGAAAGCGGAAUUCCUAGUGUAGCGGUGAAAUGCGUAGAUAUUAGGAGGAACACCGGUGGCGAAAGCGGCUUUCUGGACGACAACUGACGCUGAGGCGCGAAAGCCAGGGGAGCAAACGGGAUUAGAGACCCGUGUAGUCCCUGUCUCUUAUAC